GGACCUGACUGCUAUCGGAUUGAUACUAAGCCAUGCGAGUCAUUGUAGCAAUACAAGGCAUACGGCUCAGUAACGCGUAGUCAACCUAACCUAUGGACGGGAAUAACCUCGGGAAACUGAGAAUAAUGCCCGAUAGAACAUUAUGCCUGGAAUGGUUUAUGUUCCAAAUGAUUUAUCGCCGUAGGAUGGGACUGCGGCCUAUCAGUUUGUUGGUGAGGUAAUGGCCCACCAAGACUAUUACAGGUACGGGCUCUGAGAGGAGUAGCCCGGAGAUGGGUACUGAGACACGGACCCAGGCCCUAUGGGGCGCAGCAGGCGAGAAAACUUUGCAAUGUGCAAAAGCACGACAAGGUUAAUCCGAGUGGUUUCUGCUAAAGAAACCUUUUGUCAGUCCUAGAAACACUGAUGAAUAAGGGGUGGGCAAGUUCUGGUGU
rnacentral:rRNA from 1 species